UACGGGAGGCAGCAGUGGGGAAUAUUGCACAAUGGGCGCAAGCCUGAUGCAGCCAUGCCGCGUGUAUGAAAAGGCCUUCGGGUUGUAAAGUACUUUCUAGUCGUGAGGAAGGUGUUAAGGUUAAUAACCUUAGCAAUUGACGUUAGCGACAGAAGAAGCACCGGCUAACUCCGUGCCAGCAGCCGCGGUAAUACGGAGGGUGCGAGCGUUAAUCGGAAUUACUGGGCGUAAAGGGCACGCAGGCGGUUAAUUAAGUUGGAUGUGAAAUCCCCGGGCUUAACCUGGGAAUGGCAUUCAAGACUGGUUAGCUAGAGUCUUGUAGAGGGGGUAGAAUUCCAUGUGUAGCGGUGAAAUGCGUAGAGAUGUGGAGGAAUACCGGUGGCGAAAGGCGGCCCCUGGACAAAAGACUGACGCUCAUGUGCGAAAAGCGUGGGGAGCAAAACAGGGAUUAGAUACC
rnacentral:rRNA from 1 species